rnacentral:tRNA from 1 species
GCGGUGGUAGUCUAGCUGGUUAGGACACAACCCUGCCACGGUUGAGACCCGAGUUCGAAAGCCGGCAUAUAGUUUAUGCCUGCCGCAUAUCUCGGCCACCGCA